rnacentral:rRNA from 1 species
UGGGGAAUUUUGGACAAUGGGCGAAAGCCUGAUCCAGCAAUGCCGCGUGUGUGAAGAAGGCCUUCGGGUUGUAAAGCACUUUUGUCCGGAAAGAAAUCCUGCUGGUUAAUACUCGGGGGGAUGACGGUACCGGAAGAAUAAGCACCGGCUAACUACGUGCCAGCAGCCGCGGUAAUACGUAGGGUGCAAGCGUUAAUCGGAAUUACUGGGCGUAAAGCGUGCGCAGGCGGUUUUGUAAGACGGAUGUGAAAUCCCCGGGCUUAACCUGGGAACUGCAUUGCGUGACUGGCAAGGCUAGAGUAUGGCAGAGGGGGGUAGAAUUCCACGUGUAGCAGUGAAAUGCGUAGAGAUGUGGAGGAAUACCGAUGGCGAAGGCAGCCCCCUGGGCCAAUACUGACGCUCAUGCACGAAAGCGUGGGGAGCAAACAGGAUUAGAUACCCUGGUAGUCCACGCCCUAAACGAUGUCAACUAGUUGUUGGGGAUUCAUUUCCUUAGUAACGUAGCUAACGCGUGAAGUUGACCGCCUGGGGAGUACGGUCGCAAGAUUAAAACUUAAA